rnacentral:rRNA from 2 species
UCAGGAUGAACGCUAGCUACAGGCUUAACACAUGCAAGUCGAGGGGAAACGACAUCGAAAGCUUGCUUUUGAUGGGCGUCGACCGGCGCACGGGUGAGUAACGCGUAUCCAACCUGCCCACCACUUGGGGAUAACCUUGCGAAAGUAAGACUAAUACCCAAUGAUAUCUCUAGAAGACAUCUGAAAGAGAUUAAAGAUUUAUCGGUGAUGGAUGGGGAUGCGUCUGAUUAGCUUGUUGGCGGGGUAACGGCCCACCAAGGCAACGAUCAGUAGGGGUUCUGAGAGGAAGGUCCCCCACAUUGGAACUGAGACACGGUCCAAACUCCUACGGGAGGCAGCAGUGAGGAAUAUUGGUCAAUGGACGAGAGUCUGAACCAGCCAAGUAGCGUGCAGGAUGACGGCCCUAUGGGUUGUAAACUGCUUUUAUAAGGGAAUAAAGUGAGUCUCGUGAGACUUUUUGCAUGUACCUUAUGAAUAAGGACCGGCUAAUUCCGUGCCAGCAGCCGCGGUAAUACGGAAGGUCCGGGCGUUAUCCGGAUUUAUUGGGUUUAAAGGGAGCGUAGGCCGGAGAUUAAGCGUGUUGUGAAAUGUAGACGCUCAACGUCUGCACUGCAGCGCGAGCUGGUUUCCUUGAGUACGCACAAAGUGGGCGGAAUUCGUGGUGUAGCGGUGAAAUGCUUAGAUAUCACGAAGAACUCCGAUUGCGAAGGCAGCUCACUGGAGCGCAACUGACGCUGAAGCUCGAAAGUGCGGGUAUCGAACAGGAUUGGAUACCCUGGUAGUCCGCACGGUAAACGAUGGAUGCCCGCUGUUGGUCUGAAUAGGUCAGCGGCCAAGCGAAAGCAUUAAGCAUCCCACCUGGGGAGUACGCCGGCAACGGUG